UGGGGAAUAUUGCACAAUGGGCGCAAGCCUGAUGCAGCCAUGCCGCGUGUGUGAAGAAGGCCUCGGUUGUAAAGCACUUUCAGCGAGGAGGAAGGUGGUGAGCUUAAUACGCUCAUCAAUUGACGUUACUCGCAGAAGAAGCACCGGCUAACUCCGUGCCAGCAGCCGCGGUAAUACGGAGGGUGCAAGCGUUAAUCGGAAUUACUGGGCGUAAAGCGCACGCAGGCGGUUUGUUAAGUCAGNUGUGAAAUCCCCGGGCUCAACCUGGGAACUGCAUUUGAAACUGGCAAGCUAGAGUCUCGUAGAGGGGGGCUAGAAUUCCAGGUGUAGCGGUGAAAUGCGUAGAGAUCUGGAGGAAUACCGGUGGCGAAGGCGGCCCCCUGGANGAAGACUGACGCUCAGGUGCGAAAGCGUGGGG
rnacentral:rRNA from 1 species